UGCUGAUAUGGCUCAGUUGGUAGAGCGCACCCUUGGUAAGGGUGAGGUCCCCAGUUCGACUCUGGGUAUCAGCACCCA
rnacentral:tRNA from 1 species